rnacentral:sRNA from 1 species
CACGAUGGAUGGCCCGGACAAGCUGCGCAUCAAACUGCCGAUGCCCGAAGGCGCGGACCGUUUCAAUGCGGCACGCGGCCUGUUGGCAGCCCUGGCACCGGGCUGAAGCACACAGGUAACUGUCGCGUUCGAUGACGACACCGAGCACGACCUCAGGCCUUGAAUAACGCACAAGCAGGUGGGCAAUCACCUGCUUGUGUUCGCUGUGGCACGUCAUGAAACACGCAGUGCCUUUCGCCAUGCGCCGCAAGGCGCCAUGUCAAGAAAGCGCUGUAUUUCAUCGCUAAACCGCGCAUGAAAUGGCGAAUCGCUGCUCAAGCACUGAUCGGCGCCACAGUCAUUUGUCCUGUGGACUGUCCGGGACA